rnacentral:rRNA from 1 species
GACGAGUGGCGGACGGGUGAGUAAUGUCUGGGGAUCUGCCCGAUAGAGGGGGAUAACCACUGGAAACGGUGGCUAAUACCGCAUAACGUCGCAAGACCAAAGAGGGGGACCUUCGGGCCUCUCACUAUCGGAUGAACCCAGAUGGGAUUAGCUAGUAGGCGGGGUAAUGGCCCACCUAGGCGACGAUCCCUAGCUGGUCUGAGAGGAUGACCAGCCACACUGGAACUGAGACACGGUCCAGACUCCUACGGGAGGCAGCAGUGGGGAAUAUUGCACAAUGGGCGCAAGCCUGAUGCAGCCAUGCCGCGUGUAUGAAGAAGGCCUUCGGGUUGUAAAGUACUUUCAGCGGGGAGGAAGGCGAUGUGGUUAAUAACCGCGUCGAUUGACGUUACCCGCAGAAGAAGCACCGGCUAACUCCGUGCCAGCAGCCGCGGUAAUACGGAGGGUGCAAGCGUUAAUCGGAAUUACUGGGCGUAAAGCGCACGCAGGCGGUCUGUUAAGUCAGAUGUGAAAUCCCCCGGGCUUAACCUGGGAACUGCAUUUGAAACUGGCAGGCUUGAGUCUCGUAGAGGGGGGGUAGAAUUCCAGGUGUAGCGGUGAAAUGCGUAGAGAUCUGGAGGAAUACCGGUGGCGAAGGCGGCCCCCUG